UGUAAUCACCUUGCACAUGUUUUAAUUGAUACUGGUGCUUCACAUUCGUUUGUCUCAACAUGAUUUUGCAUACUUGAAUGUAUUACUUGAGAGACUUGAUUUUGUGUUGUUUGUAUAUACUCCUAGAAAUAAAACACUACUAGGGGAGGUUAUAUACAAAGCUUGAUCAUAGAUAUAGCAUAAAUGAAACUGAGUGUGGACCUGAUAGUAAUUGACACAAGGGACUUUGAUGUAAUUAUGGGAAUGAACUGGUUAACAGUGUAUCAUGCCACCGUAGAUUGUUUUCACAAGAAACUUGUAUUCAACCCUCUUAAUGAAAAGUCAUUUACAAGUUACUAAAAGUUUGAAUAUUAUUCCCUCACAAUAAUUUUCUUAUUACAUAGCCUUUAACUCGGUUGUCUUUUUUAUAUAAGUAAAUCUAAAAAAGAAAUUUGCAUUCAAGAGAUCCUAGUAGUCCGAAAUUUUUCGAAUGUGUUUUCUGAUGAACUACCUGAACUGUCAAUGGACAAAGAAUUUGAGUUCACUAUAGAUCUUCAGUUUGAACAACUGAGAAAACAGAUUAAUGAAUUGCAAGAUAGUGGGUUCAUCCGAUAUAGUGUGUCUUCUUGGGGUGCUGGAGUUACAUUUGUAAGGAAAGGAGAUAAGACUUUAAGAUUAUGUAUUAACUACAGAAGAUUGAACAAAGUCACGAUCAAGAACAAGUAUCCCCUCUCCAGAAUUGAUGACUUUUUUUUACCAGUUGCAGAGUGCUCAGAAAUUCUCCAAAAUAGACUUGCAUUUGAGUUACUAUCAGGUAAAGAUCAAGGCAGAGGACGUUCCCAAGACAACCUUCAGAAUUAAGUACGAACAUUAUGAGUUUUUGUUCAUGUCAUUUGGACUAACCAACACACCAGCCAUUUUUAUGGACAUGAUGAAUAGGACUUUCAGAUAAUUCUUGAAUCAGUUCGUUAUUGUGUUUGUCAAUGAUAUCCUAGUUUAUUCAAAGUACAGAGAGGAAUACACUCACUACCUGACUCAGGUUUUGCAGAUUCUCAAAGAAAAGAAACUGUAUGCAAAAUUGAGUAAGUGUAGAUUCUAGUUCGAACAGACUACCUUCUUAAGGCAUAUCAUAUCAAGAGAUGUAGUAUCAAUGAACACUGAAAAAGUUGAUUUAGUACUUAGUUGGGAUAAAUUGACUUCGAAUAAGGAGAUUCGUAGCUUUCUAGGAAUAGCAGGUCAUUAUCACAGGUUUGUGAAAGAAUUUUCUAACCUAACCGCUCCUUUGACCUGGCUCACAAAAAAUAAUGUUGAGUUUGAAUUGAACGAUGAUUGUGAAAAGAGCUUUACAGAACUCAAGAAGCGGUUAACUACUGCACCAAUGUUGGCUUUACCGAGUGAGACAAGUGGAUAUACAGUGUAUAGUGAUGUCUCCUACUUAGGGUUGAGAUGUGUUCUGAUACAGCAUGAGAAUGUCAUAACCUAUGGGUUCAGGUAAUUAAAGAGUCAUAAAAAAAACCACCCCACACACGACUUAAAACUUGCCAUCAUUAUUUACGUCUUGAAGACCUGGUGCCACUACCUGUAUGUAGAGACUUUUGAGAUUUAUACUGACCAUAAGAAUUUGAGGUACAUAUUCACUCAGAAGGAUCUCAACAUGCAUCAGAUGCGUUGAAUAGAGCUCCUUAAGAACUAUGAUUGUAAUAUUUUGUAUCACUUGCGCAAGUGCAAUGUGGUAGCCGACGCGCUUAAUAGAAAAAGUGCAGAUAUGUUAACUCACAUAAUAGUUUCUGAAUGCAAGGUAAUAAGAACCGCACAACAUAUACGAAUUCAGGACUUGAAGAGAGUUACAUACUUGGCCCACUUGACUGUCCAACCAGAAUUGAUCCAGAGAAUAAAGAAAGCUCAAUGAACCGAUUUCUCCAUAGCAGCUCUCAAGAAGGAUGUAGAACAUGGAUUAAACCUAGAAUUUUGAGUCUUUGUUGACGGGUUGCUCAAAUUUUAGGAUAUGAUGUGUGUUUCAGAUGGUAGUGAACUGAAAAUGGACAUUAUGACAAAGGCUCAUAGCUCAAAAUUUGUCAUACAUCUCGAAAGUACAAAAAUGUAUCAAAGCAUGCAACUCUAGUUUUGGUGGAGUGGGAUAGAAAGAGAGAUAAGUGACUUUGUCUCUAAGUGUCUGCUAUGUCAACAGGCUAAGGUAGAGCAUUAACGCUCAGGUGGGCUACUUCAGCCAUUACCAAUUCUGGAGUGGAAGUGAGAACAUAUCACAAUAGACUUCGUGACAGGGUUGUCUAAGGCAUGUUCGUGACAUGAUACUAUAUGGGUAAUUAUCGACCAGUUCACCAAGCCCUCUCACUUCUUGGCUAUCAAGAUGACUGACCCCUUGAACAAGUUAGAAAGAAUAUAUACAAGAGAUAGUCAGGUUACAUAGAGUUCCAGUGACAGUGGUACCCGACAGAGAUCCCAGAUUCACUUCUUAGUUUUGGUCUAGUUUUCAAUAAGUCAUGGGAAUAAAACUAUCCUUUAUCACCGCAUUCUACCCUCAAACCGAUAAAUAAUCAAAGAUGACGAUUCACACAUUAGAGGAUAUUCUUUGAGCUUUUGUUCUAGACUUCGGGGGCCAUUGGGAUGAUCAUCUACCUUUCAUAGAGUUCGCCUACAAUAACAACUAACAAGCAAAUAUCGGCAUGGUCCCGUAUGAGGCAUUGUAUGACUGCCCCUGUAAGUCACCAAUUUGUUGGAAAGAUGUGGGUGAUAGAAAAUUAUUUAGCCCAUAUCUUGUAGAGGAGACUACAGCCAAGAUAGUUAAGAUCAUGAAGAACAUCCAGACAGCUCAGAGUAGAUAGAAGAGUUAUGUAUAUACCCGAAGGAGAGAUUUGCAAUUUGAGAAAGGUGAUCGAGUGUUUCUUAAGGUCACUCCUUUCAAGAGAAUUAGCAGAUUUGACAAGAGUGAAAAAUUAAAUUCUCGGUUCAUUAGGUCAUUUGAGAUCUUAAACAAUAUUGGUAUGAUCGCCUACAGACUGGUACUACCUCUAGAACUAUCCAGGGUGCAUAAUGUGUUUCAUGUGUACAUACUAUGCAAACAAUCCGGACCCCUCACACAUCCUGUACUACGAGCAUCUUUCACUUCAGGAGGAUCUAUCCUAUGAAGAAGUACCAGUAGGCAUUGUAGACCGAAAGAGUAAAGUACUUUGCAAUAAAAAAAUUCUUUUUCGUCAAGGUCUUAUGGCAAAAUCACACACAGAAAGAUGCCACAUGAGAGCUAGAAUCGGACUUCAGAACCCAGUACCCCCAACUGUUUGACUAAGUGAGAGGGUGAUAAAUUUGAGAGACCAAGUUUUUUCUUAAGAGAGAGAGAAUUGUAAUACUCGAGUCAUGAAUUUAGCCUGGAAUAAAUUUUUUUAUUUUUAAAAUAUAUAUAAAUAAUUAAAAAUAUUAUUUUAAUUUAAUUUUAUUAAAUUUUUUGAGGAAAAAUAAGUUAGGUAUGAAAUUGAAAGCAAUUUUGGGGAAGAUGGGUGAAAUUAAGUUCAAUGGGUGUUUUUGAAAGAAAAGUUAGAAAUAAGAGGUUAAAAUAUAAAAAGAGAAAAUUCGACCAUAUGGGACGACCUAGUCAGCAGCCACAGCAAACCACAGCAUGUCGCGUGGCAAAAUAUGUUGACAUCGGCGCCAUGCAAGAAGCCACGCAGGCGAUAUGCAUGCCCAGUGAUCUGACAGCCCAGAUUUAAUCCCGCGCACGUGAACGACUCAGAUGUCACCCAAAUUUUUAGGUGCGAUUGGAUGAACGAGAUCAAUCACGAUGAACGGCCAAGAUUCACCCAUGCAAUCAACCUAAACAGGCAACGACCAGAUGACUCUCCUCGCUCUACGUCGACACGAACGGACGGUUCAGAUCGAUGCGAGAUAGGUAUUUAAACAUCGUAUCAUAGGAGAACCCUAACCCUAGGUGAAUCUAUCCUCACCGGAGAAGAAGAACCAAACACCGAAGAAGGAGACCGACCCCCGGCUGUUGUUGCACCAAAGCCGCCGCCGACCACCCAAAAAGAUAAAAUUUUCUCUUUCCCACUCAAAGUUCAAUUGUGAGUCUCUCUGUGGUCAUAUUGGAGUAAAAUGGAUGGCGGAUGAGUCAGAAACUGAGGGCAAAGUCUGGCGGAGUCGUCUUAAUCGAAACCUUAAAACCCCUCCGAUAAGCCCCUCUUGUUUCCCGUUUCACACAAUUUUUUAACUAUUAUGUUUACCGUCAUUUUUUGUGCAGAUUAGCAGAAGAAGAAACCCCAGUCGCAAAGGAGAACUAGCUGAGCCGCUGCACUCGAAGACCCCCCGUCGGUAGGUUUGGUUUCUUGUGAUUUUUUUACCAACCGAGACCCCCUAACGUGUUUUUUCAUAGAAAUAUGUAUAAAAUCAACCAAAACUGGCCAAAACUAACCAGGUCGAGGUAAACCACCACCGUGGGCAACGGAGCCGAUGCCAAAGCAUGAGGACUCCAAUGUGCCAGAACCCUAAAAUUGGCUGAAAAGAGUUUUCAACACUUAUUUUAGAUUUUUGAUGUUUUUUUAGGAAUGUAACGAGUAAUUUAGAUUAUCGCAUGAUAAAUUCAAAAAACUCGAGACUCAUUAGGAGGCGUAGUAGAUAGCACGAUAUUUCAAAAUAUCGAUUCGGGUAAGAAUUCCUAACCCUAUUCUCAAUUACGUAAAUUGAGGAUUAAUAAUCGAUAAUUGUGUAUUUUAUAAAAAUUAAAAAAAAAACUCUAAAAAUAUUACAGGUCGCUAGUGGAGACAUAACCGAUUAGUUCACAUUUAUCCUAAUUCCCUAUUUAUUUUCCUAUACUGCUUAACUUGCUUACUAUUAUAUUAUACAUGUUUAAAUUGAUAGUUUCUAUGGUUUUCUCGAUUAUCUGGUUUAUUUGGUUCCUCCUACAUUUUUAUUUGAUUAUCUGGUUAUUCGGUUAUUGAUUAUGAUAAACUAUAUCGCUUACUUAAAUGUCGUUUAAAUUGAUCAGUGAAUAUGAAAUGAAACGUUGGUAUGCUUUAGUAGUUGUUUGAAUCUAAAUAAAUAAAAGCUUACUGAGUAUCUUGGGAAAUGAUAAACGAACCUGGUACAUAGAGAACCCUACCGUGGACAUUACUUCAAUCGAAUGAAGUUAAGAAGUCUUAUACUGAAAGAGUUUUAGGAGAUAUAGUUCAUCCUUAUACCAGACGAAGUAUCGAGGGGAUGAUGUUUUAGGCGCCCAUUACCGGACGAGAAAGGGGAACGGCUGAGUUAAUUGUUAAAUCUUGAUACUGGGUCCACAAGUAGAGAGAUAUCCUUAUGGACCCACAGAGGUUCCAGUAAGUAGAUUAAAAAAGAAGGAUUGCUGGUCCUAUGCAUGAAAUUGAAAUGUCAUUUAGAUAAUUGUAUUCAUAGGUUUAUUUUGGAAAAAAAAAAUCGUAAUGGUAAGUAUUGAAUAAAAAGUUUUAAAGUUAAAUAUAUUUACUUAAAUAAAGACUUCAUUAGUUAUUUUAUUAUUUUUACCAACUUUCGAUUUUUCGUAUUAGUGAUUAGUGUGAUAUUUUUAUUGGGGUAGUGUAGUUCAUCAUUUUAUUAACCAUUUCAUAUAAAGAAGAUCAAGAUUCAGAUCCCGAUCAGUAAGAAAGUUGUAAAUAGUUCACCUUUCGGACUCCCUUCAAAUGCUAGUGGGAAAGUUAACCCUUAUGAUAUUUAUUUAUUUUUAUUAUUGUUUAUUUUUUUAUGAACCAAUAUAGAAGGGACAUUUCCGUAAUUCUAUUAAACAUCCCAAUUUACUGUGUAAGCAAUGUAAAUCUUAACCUUAUUGUUCGUUUUUGCAUUUAAAAAUAUAAAUUUAUUUACUUUUAAGAUUACACGUCUUCACAUUAUUACCCUUAAUUAUAUCAAUCCAAUGUUAGGAUUUUUCAAUAAAUAAGUAAGAAAUUUUUGCUAUUAAAAGUGCUUUAAAAAUAAACUUAUGCUAGCACUUAUGCCGAUAUUGUUGGGUAUUUUCUAAGUGUAGGCCGAUAUUUUUUAUUGCUACUUAAUUUUAUUUUUUUUUUUGAAUUCGUGAAAAGUAAUUAAUUAAAUUACUGAAGUUAUUGAGCCUACAAAUUAUUUCCUAUGGACUAAAGUUUUAUUUUAUUCCUAUGAUGUACUGAAAUAAAAUAACAAAAUCUCACAACUAUAAAUAACUCAUGAUUCUCAGCUCAAAUAUUAAUUUCUUGCACUAUUUUCUCAUCGCCAAAUAAAACAAAAGGUUUCUCUCUAAGAAAAAAUUAAAUGUAAAAUAUCAUGUAUUUAUUAAUUUAUUUAUUAGUUUUGUGAUUUACCUAAGAUCUUGUAUUUAUUAGUUAAAUUGUUUUUCAAUUUUUAAUUUCCCUACAAAUAGCUGUAGUGGUACUUGCAUGGUGCUGACAUCAUCAUUGAAGCAUAUAUAUAUAUAUAUAUGUAUAUGCUUUGUGAGCAAGGAAACUAGCUAUUUCCCAUAGCACAAUACAAACAUUUCUUUUCUCAAGAGUUGUAUAAUUGUGCAUUAACCCAAGUUAACCCAGAAAAGACAAAUCAUAUAGUGGAUUCCAGAAUUUGUUGAUGUUACAAUCUAAGUUAAUACACUUUCCACUUGUAUCCAUUUGUUUCACUAAAUUAUAACAAAAACAAAAAUCAAUGCCUUAAUUAAUUAGCUCUCACUUUCUUCUUUUCGGUUGGGAAUAAAACCCACAAUUAAUUUUAAUUAAAUUAACGUUUCCUUUCCCUUUUUCUGUGGUUAGGAUAAGAUAUAUCUGUAUAUACACAUAUACAAUAUAUAUAUAUAUAUAUAUGGUUCAGAAGCAAUUGAAUUACAAAGCACACCAAAGAAAAAUAUAUUUAUAUUAUUAUUUUAGUAGAAAGGCGGUGGUGCUAAACGGAUUAUAAUUACGGGAAAAAAAUUCUCAGAUCCUGACAUGCCUACCAUUUCAAACUAAUUAAUUAUCUUCACGGGGUGGUGACCCGUCUUACCAUCACACUCACUCUCUCUCUCUCUCUCUGUAUAUAUAUAUAUAUAUGUAUAUCUCGAUCUCCCACUUUCAUGCACCAUAAUCUGAUCAUCACGAGUCAUCGCACACUUUACUUUUCUCUACAAAAACCCUCUCUACGUAUAACGUAAUUCAUCAAAUAGAAAUAUUUUCUUCAAACAACACAAAAAGAAAUGCGCACCCACUUCUCUGAAUCAUUCACCUUCUUCUUUCUCUUCAUGAUGAUGAUCUCUGCAACUUCUUUGGCGUCCCGGUUUAUCGGCGGCGGGGUUGGCGGUUACACUGGAACCAAAACGGUGCCGUCUCCUGAAACCUCUACGGGGUCUAACGAGCCAGGCGGGGCUACUGGGUCUGCCAGUGGACCCAACUGGGAUUACAGUUGGGCAUGGGGUUCAAGCCCCGGCAGCGGAUGGGGUUUCGGUUCGGGCUCAGGACGGUCACCCAACGGGUUCGGGAAGGGUUCCGGGUUUGGGUUCGGUACAGGGUCGGGUUCGGGCAGCGGGUAUGGAUUCGGAUUUGGAAGUGGUGGAGCUCACGGUGGAGGAUAUGGCUAUGGAAGUGGAAAUGGAAACUCUGGUGGCGGCGGCUCUGGUGGGACCGGUGGUUCUGGUGGGGGAGGUGGUGGUUCAGGCGACCAUAGCACGCACUCUCCAUGGGAGGCUAAAGACAGA
rnacentral:lncRNA from 1 species